AGUUACGAAUGAAGACAAUGCCUAUCACUCUCUACAAACUUCUCGUUGGUCUAGAGGUACCACAAUAUUUAUAAAACAACAGCGCAAGUAAGAGAGGUUUAUAUUUCAAAUUUUUAAUACGCGAUUGAAUGUUGCUAUUAAUCUCAAAAUGUUGAAAACCAAAAUGGGAACACACAACAGUUGUUGGAACAAGUUUGUUGACGCGUGAAUCUUGUAACGAGCUGGGAACAAGUAGUGGAAACAUGACCAGACUUUUUAGAACAGCCUUGCAGCGAGCGCUUUUUUCUCGUUAACCUUGUAGCAAGUUGUGAUAAAGCAACUUUUGCAAGCCGAAACGAGAUGAAUUGACUCUGAACAAACAAAUAUAAGAAUAGAUUGAAUUAUACGAGAUUUUAUCGUCUUAGCAUUUUUACCGUGGGCAGGAUACAUCCCGAUUCAACAUGAAAUAUGUUAGCUGGAUCAUAGGGCGCCAUUUUUUGGUAUGUGUAAUAUUUGAGAUAUUCUAGGAAGAAAUUGAUUGCCUCGUCCCCAGUCGCUUUGUGUGGAUUGGAGGGAGCAUCGAUGCUACUGAUUUAUAUAUGCCGCUUGUGUGUGCUAAACAUAAGAGCCUGGGGAGGAGGCAGGAAAGUGUGAUAUAUCUUUAUAUUAAAAAACCUUAAUUAAAUUUCUCACUAUAAUAAGUGUAGUUUCCGGAAUUAGAUGAAUUCACAAUAUCGGACGACUUCCGAUGAGGUGUUUACUGUCAAGAUAUAUUGCACUUCUUCUUAGAAUGAUAGAAAUAUGACGCCAAAAUUCAUAUUGCGGGUUAAUAGUUACACUGAAUAAUCAGAUUCGAAAUGAUAUUAUUAUGACUUGAAGGCAAGUAACGCUGUGAUCAAAUAGUUUUGAGAGAUCUCAAAUUGGUAUAUAGUGAUAUUUAUAUAGAGCGUAGAAGUUGUUGUAAACAAUUAUGGACAUUCCUCUGUCCUGUAUAUGAUUAAAAAUACCUUCCCAAGUAUA